UUUGUAGGAAUCACGAUUUCUGUGAUUUAUGACUCAUGCUGUGUAGGGCGUCUCGUAUUUUUAUCAGAGCGAUGUCAUUUUUCACAGUUUUGGUCGCUCAGCUUUCACGGGCAGUUUCCCUUCCCAAGCUCCAGAGGUUCACAGUGAAAACUGCGAACGCUAUCUUCACAAACAGCGACAGACGGGCCAAUCGGGGCGGGGACGUCACAAACGCGCUCGAGUCAUGCGGAGCCGCCGCCACGGAGGCGCUCGGCUCCCUCCAGUGGACACGCACCGGUACUGCAGUCGGGAGGCGCUGGAAGAUUAUUUGCUGAAUUCCUUACCGAUGCGGCUAUCUCGUGGAGAGAAAGUGGAACGGUUACGUCAUGUCCUAAACAAUCUGAUUGGAUAAAAGACAAGUCACAAAUUAAGUGACUUCUGAUUGGCGAACGCAGUUAGCGAAUCAAAAGUUAGAAAUGCGUUACCUAAUUUGUAUAGACCCUAUAGCUGUCCAAGGUGCGCACCUGUUUAAAAAUAUACAUUUAUUAUUAAUAAAACAUUUUUUUAGUACACGUGUCCACGUCAGUAUUUUAAUAAUAUUAUAUUUUCAUGCUUUUAGUGAAGAAUUGUUUAAUAUCAGUCAUAUUUUAAAACGGGAGGUUUCGAAAUAACCAAAGAAAACAACGAUUCUAAACCGGAACGUGCGUGAAGGAAUCAACUGUAGUUCUCUUUUAUAGCGGUUUAAAAUGUAUCUAAAAGUAUAUACGGGUGUUUGCAAUAAUUUAAUCACAGACGUAGAAAUAUAACCAAGAUUCAUGACGACCAUUGUAUUGAUAGAGCAGUUGUUUAAAUAAAAGAGCAGCGUCAGUUUUGGAAAUAUCACAUUUUAUAUUUGUGUCAGUUUUUAGUUAAGUAAAUUGGAAAAUUACAAGCGGUGUGUAUUUCAGUAUGCUAACGUGACGUUUUUCAGCAGGUUUCAUUUGAUUUUAUGAAGCAGAAUUAGUUAACACUCAAAUUAACCCCUCGACAGCAGUUCUACUAAAUGUCCACACGAGGGCAGCAUUGGAUAGGAAAUGAAAGCUAAAGCCUCGUCUGUCUCCCUGAAGUUCGCUACCAAUUGUAAAGAGCAGAGGACAGCUCAGCCGGAGGCGUGUGUCUGUGUGAAACGACUUUAUUUCAUGUGAUAAGUUUGUGGAAGAAGGACGCCAUGUGAGGAGGCGUUUGCUCUUGUUUUACACAGACUACGAGGGACAGCGCUCGUUAAACCAGGUCUGUGAGGAUGAGAAGGUCUCCACAGUCUGGAGUCUGGUCUCUGACAGGCUCAACAUACCUGUCAAUCAACAGGGACUCCUCUACAAAGGCAAGGCGCUGGCAGGUAGGCUGAACAGCACAGCACAGCACAGCACAGCUCACCCCUCCUCUCACCCCUCGCCUCACCCCUCCUCUCACGCCUCGCCUCACCCCGGGUCAGUGUGGCACAGCCUGCCUGCUCUUCUGAACAAACACUUCAGCCCUGCCGACGCAGUGAGAGUCUGGAGCAGCUACACGAGGUCUGUGAGGAUGUGGUGGUCUCCACAGUCUGGAGUCUGGUCUCUGACAGGCUCAACAUACCUGUCAAUCAACAGGGACUCCUCUACAAAGGCAAGGCGCUGGCAGGUAGGCUGAACAGCACAGCACAGAACAGCUCACCCCUCCUCUCACUCCUCGCCUCACCCCGGGUCAGUGUGGCACAGCCUGCCUGCUCUUCUGAACAAACACUUCAGCCCUGCCGACGCAGUGAGAGUCUGGAGCAGCAACACAAGGAUUACGAGCGGAGGCUGCGCUUGUUGAGCCUGGAUGAUAUGGAGCGGCUGGCGACCCGCAUGCUUCACCCCGAGGCUGUGGAGUGCAUGGAGCUGUCCUUCCUGGACUGAGGAAUACUGCUGCUGCCCUCUCCCCCCUCUCCUCUCCACCUCUCCCCUCUCCUCGCCAAGGAGGGGAGGUGAGGAGAUGGAGGAGAGAGAGGAACCUGCUACUGAGGGAGCUGCAGCUCUGAGGAGAGGGAGGAGAGGGAAGAGAGAGGAACCUGCUACUGAGGGAGCUGCAGCUCUGAGGAGAGAGAGGGAGGAGAGAGAGGGAGGAGGGAGAGGAACCUGCUACUGAGGGAGCUGCAGCUCAGAGGAGAGGAGAGAGAGGAACCUGCUACUGAGGGAGCUGCAGCUCUGAGGAGAGGAGAGAGAGAGAUUAGAGAGAGGAACCUGCUACUGAGGGAGCUGCAGCUCUGAGGAGAGGAGAGAGAGAGAUUAGAGAGAGGAACCUGCUACUGAGGGAGCUGCAGCUUUGAGGGGAGGAGAGAGAGGAACCUGCUACUGAGGGAGCUGCAGCUUUGAGGGGAGGAGAGAGAAGAACCUGCUACUGAGGGAGCUGCAGCUUUGAGGAGGAGAUCAAAUCUUUCUUCAGGUGUUGUUAUUUUGAUACAGUUUUGAGGUUGAAUAUUUCAGUCCAGGUUUGAAGCACUCACUCUUCAUUACUGAUAUUUAAAUCCAGAAGAAACACAAAAUAAAUAAAAAUCUGUGUUGAAGUC